CACGUUACACGGUAUCGAUUUCGAUGAUCGUCUAGCGAACCGUUUACUUCAGCCGCGUUACCUCGAAAGGAACGUUGUUAUCGGUGACACAACGUAUGUAUCGGCAGUAAUGGGAUCAAAUUCGACAAAUCCGAACCAAAUCCGAUAUCCAAGCUUUACUUCACAAAAUUCCAAUAUUACUCGUAAUAUAUGACGGUUUAUUAACAGCUACGCUUGCGAAGUAUUCCAUCAUCGCAAACUGUUUUCGAACGUCGGGACGAGUAUUCGCGAGUUUCGAUGUAAGAAUCACAGAAAUGAGAAACAUGGUUUUACGAAGUUGUAGAAUUUCUGGAAAUAAAACGGCGAGAACAACGACCAAGGAACAGAUCCUUCGCAUACACACGGACCGUUCGCGUUCGUCAUAUAGCGUGUGCGCCAAGAUAAAUGGACCUUUCGAGCUUUCGUGCUAUAUCGACGCGAAUAUAUAGCGCAGCUGUUUCAAAUAGGAAGCGUGGCACGGCGGAGACGCGAGAUUCGUGAAAUAUCCGUUGCCGCAACUGCUACUAGUCAAAUAUGCGGGCGUAAAAGAUGCGAAUCUCCUCCAGUCCUUGCAACGAUAAAGUUGACGAAAUUUCUCCGAGUUGACCGAAUAACCGAGUUAGUCGAAACGCUUGUGUUCCACGACUAACUAAAAUUUCGUUGUGGCAAAUGGAAUCGGCGAAUGAAUCGAGUUCUACCGAAACGCGCGUCUCCUUUCAGAUUUUGUUUGUCCAUAAAUUCUCUUGCCACUGAAACGUCACGAGUAUUCCUUACGGGUCUUCUUAUCAUUGGAAAUUCCAGGCCCGCGACGCUUUCCUACGACGGUGAUAGACAACGAAAUUUCCAAACGUAGAGUUUAGG
rnacentral:misc_RNA from 1 species